ACGGAAGGCAGCAGUGAGGAAUAUUGGUCAAUGGGCGAGAGCCUGAACCAGCCAAGUAGCGUGAAGGAAGACUGCCCUAUGGGUUGUAAACUUCUUUUGUGCGGGGGUAAAGUGGUCCACGCGUGGUCAUUGCAAGUACCGUACGAAUAAGCAUCGGCUAACUCCGUGCCAGCAGCCGCGGUAAUACGGAGGAUGCGAGCGUUAUCCGGAUUUAUUGGGUUUAAAGGGAGCGUAGGCGGGCGAUUAAGUCAGCGGUUAAAUAGUGUGGCUCAACCAUGCCUUGCCGUUGAUACUGGUUGUCUUGAGAGUACUAGAGGUGGAUGGAAUUUAGGGUGUAGCGGUGAAAUGCUUAGAUAUCCUAAAGAACUCCGAUUGCGAAGGCAGUCCACUGGGGUACGUCUGACACUGAAGCUCGAAAGUGCGGGUAUCAAACAGGAUUAGAUACCCUGGUA
rnacentral:rRNA from 1 species